CACAUAAGAGACGAUACAGACAGGACAAUCUUUCAGCUUCAAGAUUGUCCUGAAAGAUUGUCCUUGAAAGAUUGUCCUGUCUCUAUCGUCUCUUAUGUGUCU
rnacentral:pre_miRNA from 1 species